CCCGGCGAGGGGAGUGAAAAAGAACCUGAAACCGUGUACGUACAAGCAGUGGGAGCACAGAGCAAUCUGUGUGACUGCGUACCUUUUGUAUAAUGGGUCAGCGACUUAUAUUCUGUAGCAAGGUUAACCGAAUAGGGGAGCCGAAGGGAAACCGAGUCUUAACUGGGCGUUAAGUUGCAGGGUAUAGACCCGAAACCCGGUGAUCUAGCCAUGGGCAGGUUGAAGGUUGGGUAACACUAACUGGAGGACCGAACCGACUAAUGUUGAAAAAUUAGCGGAUGACUUGUGGCUGGGGGUGAAAGGCCAAUCAAACCGGGAGAUAGCUGGUUCUCCCCGAAAGCUAUUUAGGUAGCGCCUCGUGAAUUCAUCUCCGGGGGUAGAGCACUGUUUCGGCAAGGGGGUCAUCCCGACUUACCAACCCGAUGCAAACUGCGAAUACCGGAGAAUGUUAUCACGGGAGACACACGGCGGGUGCUAACGUCCGUCGUGAAGAGGGAAACAACCCAGACCGCCAGCUAAGGUCCCAAAGUCAUGGUUAAGUGGGAAACGAUGUGGGAAGGCCCAGACAGCCAGGAUGUUGGCUUAGAAGCAGCCAUCAUUUAAAGAAAGCGUAAUAGCUCACUGGUCGAGUCGGCCUGCGCGGAAGAUGUAACGGGGCUAAACCAUGCACCGAAGCUGCGGCAGCGACNNAUGCUGGAGGUAUCAGAAGUGCGAAUGCUGACAUAAGUAACGAUAAAGCGGGUGAAAAGCCCGCUCGCCGGAAGACCAAGGGUUCCUGUCCAACGUUAAUCGGGGCAGGGUGAGUCGACCCCUAAGGCGAGGCCGAAAGGCGUAGUCGAUGGGAAACAGGUUAAUAUUCCUGUACUUGGUGUUACUGCGAAGGGGGGACGGAGAAGGCUAUGUUGGCCGGGCGACGGUUGUCCCGGUUUAAGCGUGUAGGCUGGUUUUCCAGGCAAAUCCGGAAAAUCAAGGCUGAGGCGUGAUGACGAGGCACUACGGUGCUGAAGCAACAAAUGCCCUGCUUCCAGGAAAAGCCUCUAAGCAUCAGGUAACAUCAAAUCGUACCCCAAACCGACACAGGUGGUCAGGUAGAGAAUACCAAGGCGCUUGAGAGAACUCGGGUGAAGGAACUAGGCAAAAUGGUGCCGUAACUUCGGGAGAAGGCACGCUGAUAUGUAGGUGAAGUCCCUCGCGGAUGGAGCUGAAAUCAGUCGAAGAUACCAGCUGGCUGCAACUGUUUAUUAAAAACACAGCACUGUGCAAACACGAAAGUGGACGUAUACGGUGUGACGCCUGCCCGGUGCCGGAAGGUUAAUUGAUGGGGUCAGCGCAAGCGAAGCUCUUGAUCGAAGCCCCGGUAAACGGCGGCCGUAACUAUAACGGUCCUAAGGUAGCGAAAUUCCUUGUCGGGUAAGUUCCGACCUGCACGAAUGGCGUAAUGAUGGCCAGGCUGUCUCCACCCGAGACUCAGUGAAAUUGAACUCGCUGUGAAGAUGCAGUGUACCCGCGGCAAGACGGAAAGACCCCGUGAACCUUUACUAUAGCUUGACACUGAACAUUGAGCCUUGAUGUGUAGGAUAGGUGGGAGGCUUUGAAGUGUGGACGCCAGUCUGCAUGGAGCCGACCUUGAAAUACCACCCUUUAAUGUUUGAUGUUCUAACGUUGACCCGUGAUCCGGGUUGCGGACAGUGUCUGGUGGGUAGUUUGACUGGGGCGGUCUCCUCCUAAAGAGUAACGGAGGAGCACGAAGGUUGGCUAAUCCUGGUCGGACAUCAGGAGGUUAGUGCAAUGGCAUAAGCCAGCUUGACUGCGAGCGUGACGGCGCGAGCAGGUGCGAAAGCAGGUCAUAGUGAUCCGGUGGUUCUGAAUGGAAGGGCCAUCGCUCAACGGAUAAAAGGUACUCCGGGGAUAACAGGCUGAUACCGCCCAAGAGUUCAUAUCGACGGCGGUGUUUGGCACCUCGAUGUCGGCUCAUCACAUCCUGGGGCUGAAGUAGGUCCCAAGGGUAUGGCUGUUCGCCAUUUAAAGUGGUACGCGAGCUGGGUUUAGAACGUCGUGAGACAGUUCGGUCCCUAUCUGCCGUGGGCGCUGGAGAACUGAGGGGGGCUGCUCCUAGUACGAGAGGACCGGAGUGGACGCAUCACUGGUGUUCGGGUUGUCAUGCCAAUGGCACUGCCCGGUAGCUAAAUGCGGAAGAGAUAAGUGCUGAAAGCAUCUAAGCACGAAACUUGCCCCGAGAUGAGUUCUCCCUGACNGUCCUGAAGGAACGUUGAAGACGACGACGUUGAUAGGCCGGGUGUGUAAGCGCAGCGAUGCGUUGAGCUAACCGGUACUAAUGAACCGUGAGGCUUAACCUU
rnacentral:rRNA from 1 species